CAAGGAAUUUUCCGCAAUGGGCGAAAGCCUGACGGAGCAACGCCGCGUGGGGGAUGACACCUUUCGGGGCGUAAACCCCUUUUCUGUGGGAUGACGAACGACCGUACCACAGGAAGAAGGCCCGGCUAACUACGUGCCAGCAGCCGCGGUAAUACGUAGGGGCCGAGCGUUGUCCGGAAUUACUGGGCGUAAAGCGCGCGCAGGCGGCUUUUCAAGCCUGACGUGAAAGCCCCCCGGCUCAACCGGGGAGGGUCGUCGGGGACUGGGAAGCUUGAGGGCGGUAGGGGCCGGUGGAAUUCCCGGUGUAGUGGUGAAAUGCGUAGAGAUCGGGAGGAACACCAGUAGCGAAGGCGGCCGGCUGGGCCGACCCUGACGCUGAGGCGCGAAGGCGUGGGGGAGCGAACGGGAUUAGAUACCCCGGUAGUCCACGCAGUAAACGAUGCAGACUAGGCGUGGGGGGACUUGACCCCCUCCGUGCCGCAGCCAACGCGAGAAGUCUGCCGCCUGGGGAGUACGGCCGCAAGGCUAAAACUCAAAUGAAUUGACGGGGG
rnacentral:rRNA from 1 species